AUUGAACGCUGGCGGCAUGCCUUACACAUGCAAGUCGAACGGCAGCACGGGAGCAAUCCUGGUGGCGAGUGGCGAACGGGUGAGUAAUAUAUCGGAACGUGCCCAGUCGUGGGGGAUAACGUAGCGAAAGCUACGCUAAUACCGCAUACGAUCUAAGGAUGAAAGCGGGGGACCGCAAGACCUCGCGCGAUUGGAGCGGCCGAUGGCAGAUUAGGUAGUUGGUGGGAUAAAAGCUUACCAAGCCGACGAUCUGUAGCUGGUCUGAGAGGACGAUCAGCCACACUGGGACUGAGACACGGCCCAGACUCCUACGGGAGGCAGCAGUGGGGAAUUUUGGACAAUGGGCGAAAGCCUGAUCCAGCAAUGCCGCGUGCAGGAUGAAGGCCUUCGGGUUGUAAACUGCUUUUGUACGGAACGAAAAGCCCCGGGUUAAUACCCUGGGGUCAUGACGGUACCGUAAGAAUAAGCACCGGCUAACUACGUGCCAGCCGCCGCCGUAAAAC
rnacentral:rRNA from 1 species